AGUGAACGCUGGCGGUAGGCCUAACACAUGCAAGUCGAACGGCAGCACAGUAAGAGCUUGCUCUUACGGGUGGCGAGUGGCGGACGGGUGAGGAAUACAUCGGAAUCUACUUUUUCGUGGGGGAUAACGUAGGGAAACUUACGCUAAUACCGCAUACGACCUACGGGUGAAAGCAGGGGAUCUUCGGACCUUGCGCGAUUGAAUGAGCCGAUGUCGGAUUAGCUAGUUGGCGGGGUAAAGGCCCACCAAGGCGACGAUCCGUAGCUGGUCUGAGAGGAUGAUCAGCCACACUGGGACUGAGACACGGUCCAGACUCCUACGGGAGGCAGCAGUGGGGAAUAUUGGACAAUGGGCGCAAGCCUGAUCCAGACAUACCGCGUGGGUGAAGAAGGCCUUCGGGUUGUAAAGCCCUUUUGUUGGGAAAGAAAAGCAGCAGGUUAAUACCCCGCUGUUCUGACGGUACCCAAAGAAUAAGCACCGGCUAACUUCGUG
rnacentral:rRNA from 1 species